rnacentral:misc_RNA from 1 species
UAAAGUGCGAUAUGUGGUGCGAUUUGCAUGAAUCUGUGAGUCAUUUAAUCUUUGAACGCAACUUGCGCCUCUCUGGAGGCAUGUCUGUUUGAGUGUCUUUUAACAACGUGUUGUGCGAUAAAUAGUAUUUAUUGCGCAGAGGUGGUUCGUGUGCGUUGUUAUGUGGUUAUUGUCAUGAUCAUUCAUCAUCACAUGCACUGGACUGAAAUGCAGCAGGUCGGCAGAACACGUGCUGGCUCGUGUGCUAAGCAUUCUCGAGCUGUCAUAUUGUGUCUGUCUCGAGUUGUGACUAUCACAACUCCAUCUUAAUCCAUAUACAGACCUCAAAUCAGGCAGGACUACCCGCUGAACUUAA